GUCUAUGGCCAUACCACCCUGAACGAGCCGAUGUCUCAUCUCGGAAGCUAAGCAGGGUCAGGCCUGGUUAGUACUUGGAUGGGAGACCACCAAGGAAAACCAGGUGUUGUAGGCA
rnacentral:rRNA from 1 species